UGCGGAAGGAUCAUUACAAGUGAGGCUACCGAACGUUGGAAACAGCGGUUAGGAGCUUACACCCACCCGUGUUUACAUACUAUUGUUGCUUUGGCGGGCCGUGGCCUCCACUGCGGGCUCUGCUCGUGUGUGCCCGCCAGAGAACCAAACUCUGAAUGUUAGUGAUGUCUGAGUACUAUCUAAUAGUUAAAACUUUCAACAACGGAUCUCUUGGUUCUGGCAUCGAUGAAGAACGCAGCGAAAUGCGAUAAGUAAUGUGAAUUGCAGAAUUCAGUGAAUCAUCGAAUCUUUGAACGCACAUUGCGCCCUGUGGUAUUCCGCAGGGCAUGCCUGUUCGAGCGUCAUUUAACCACUCACGCCUAGCGUGGUAUUGGGGCACGCGGUCUCCGCGGCCCUCAAAAUGAGUGGCGGCGCCGGUGGGCUCUAAGCGUAGUACAUACUCCCGCUAUAGAGUUCCCCCGGUGGCUCGCCAGAACCCCCAAUUUUUACAGGUUGACCUCGGAUCAGGUAGGGAUACCCGCUGAACUUAAGCAUAUCAAUAAGCGGAGGAAAAGAAACCAACAGGGAUUACCUCAGUAACGGCGAGUGAAGCGGUAACAGCUCAAAUUUGAAAGCUGCCAACAGGCCGCGUUGUAAUUUGUAGAAGCUGCUUUGGG
rnacentral:rRNA from 1 species